UGGGGAAUAUUGCACAAUGGGCGCAAGCCUGAUGCAGCCAUGCCGCGUGUGUGAAGAAGGCCUUCGGGUUGUAAAGCACUUUCAGCGGGGAGGAAGGCGGUGAGGUUAAUAACCUCACCGAUUGACGUUACCCGCAGAAGAAGCACCGGCUAACUCCGUGCCAGCAGCCGCGGUAAUACGGAGGGUGCAAGCGUUAAUCGGAAUUACUGGGCGUAAAGCGCACGCAGGCGGUCUGUCAAGUCGGAUGUGAAAUCCCCGGGCUCAACCUGGGAACUGCAUCUGAUACUGGCAAGCUUGAGUCUCGUAGAGGGGGGUAGAAUUCCAGGUGUAGCGGUGAAAUGCGUAGAGAUCUGGAGGAAUACCGGUGGCGAAGGCGGCCCCCUGGACAAAGACUGACGCUCAGGUGCGAAAGCGUGGGGAGCAAACAGG
rnacentral:rRNA from 1 species